rnacentral:rRNA from 1 species
GAACGGGUGAGUAAUACAUCGGAACGUGCCCAGUCGUGGGGGAUAACUACGCGAAAGCGUAGCUAAUACCGCAUACGAUCUACGGAUGAAAGCGGGGGAUCGCAAGACCUCGCGCGAUUGGAGCGGCCGAUGGCAGAUNNNNNNGUUGGUGGGGUAAAGGCUCACCAAGCCGUCGAUCUGNNNNUGGUCUGAGAGGACGACCAGCCACACUGGGGCUGAGACACGGCCCAGACUCCUACGGGAGGCAGCAGUGGGGAAUUUUGGACAAUGGGCGAAAGCCUGAUCCAGCCAUUCCGCGUGCAGGAUGAGGGCCCUCGGGUUGUAAACUGCUUUUGGACGGAACGAAAAGCGCCGGGUUAAUACCUUGGCGUCAUGACGGUACCGUCAGAAUAAGCACCGGCUAACUACGUGCCAGCAGCCGCGGUAAUACGUAGGGUGCGAGCGUUAAUCGGAAUUACUGGGCGUAAAGCGUGCGCAGGCGGUGAUGUAAGACAGAUGUGAAAUCCCCGGGCUCAACCUGGGAACUGCAUUUGUGACUGCAUCGCUGGAGUGCGGCAGAGGGGGAUGGAAUUCCGCGUGUAGCAGUGAAAUGCGUAGAUAUGCGGAGGAACACCGAUGGCGAAGGCAAUCCCCUGGGCCUGCACUGACGUUCAUGCACGAAAGCGUGGGGAGCAAACAGGAUUAGAUACCCUGGUAGUCCACGCCCUAAACGAUGUCAACUGGUUGUUGGGUCUUCACUGACUCAGUAACGAAGCUAACGCGUGAAGUUGACCGCCUGGGGAGUACGGCCGNCAGGUUGAAACUCAAAGGAAUUGACGG